CCCUGAACUAUACUGGGGAUGCCACACAUAUCCAUGGCAUUGAGAAGAUUAGCAUGCCCCCUGCGCAAGAAUGAUACAAAUUUGUGAAGCGUUCCAUAUUUUU
rnacentral:snRNA from 1 species